rnacentral:tRNA from 1 species
CCCUGUGGCUCAGUUGGUAGAGCAUGGUGUUUGCAACGCCAGCAUGGUGUGUGCAAUGCCAGGGUUGUGGGUGCAAUUCCCACUGGGG